CUACGGGAGGCAGCAGUGGGGAAUAUUGCACAAUGGGCGCAAGCCUGAUGCAGCCAUGCCGCGUGUGUGAAGAAGGCCUUCGGGUUGUAAAGCACUUUCAGUCGUGAGGAAGGUAGUGYAGUUAAUAGCUGCAUUAUUUGACGUUAGCGACAGAAGAAGCACCGGCUAACUCCGUGCCAGCAGCCGCGGUAAUACGGAGGGUGCGAGCGUUAAUCGGAAUUACUGGGCGUAAAGCGCAUGCAGGUGGUUUGUUAAGUCAGAUGUGAAAGCCCGGGGCUCAACCUCGGAAUUGCAUUUGAAACUGGCAGACUAGAGUACUGUAGAGGGGGGUAGAAUUUCAGGUGUAGCGGUGAAAUGCGUAGAGAUCUGAAGGAAUACCGGUGGCGAAGGCGGCCCCCUGGACAGAUACUGACACUCAGAUGCGAAAGCGUGGGGAGCAAACAGGAUUAGAUACCCUGGUAGUCCACGCCGUAAACGAUGUCUACUUGGAGGUUGUGGCCUUGAGCCGUGGCUUUCGGAGCUAACGCGUUAAGUAGACCGCCUGGGGAGUACGGUCGCAAGAUUAAAACUCAAAUGAAUUGACGGGGGCCCGCACAAGCGGUGGAGCAUGUGGUUUAAUUCGAUGCAACGCGAAGAACCUUACCUACUCUUGACAUCCAGAGAACUUUCCAGAGAUGGAUUGGUGCCUUCGGGAACUCUGAGACAGGUGCUGCAUGGCUGUCGUCAGCUCGUGUUGUGAAAUGUUGGGUUAAGUCCCGCAACGAGCGCAACCCUUAUCCUUGUUUGCCAGCGAGUAAUGUCGGGAACUCCAGGGAGACUGCCGGUGAUAAACCGGAGGAAGGUGGGGACGACGUCAAGUCAUCAUGGCCCUUACGAGUAGGGCUACACACGUGCUACAAUGGCGCAUACAGAGGGCGGCCAACUUGCGAGAGUGAGCGAAUCCCAAAAAGUGCGUCGUAGUCCGGAUCGGAGUCUGCAACUCGACUCCRUGAAGUCGGAAUCGCUAGUAAUCGUGGAUCAGAAUGCCACGGUGAAUACGUUCCCGGGCCUUGUACACACCGCCCGUCACACCAUGGGAGUGGGCUGCAAAAGAAGUAGGUAG
rnacentral:rRNA from 1 species